rnacentral:rRNA from 1 species
UUGAACGCUGGCGGCAGGCCUAACUCCUGCCAGUCGAGCGGAUGAAGGGAGCUUGCUCCUGGAUUCAGCGGCGGACGGGUGAGUAAUGCCUAGGAAUCUGCCUGGUAGUGGGGGAUAACGUCCGGAAACGGGCGCUAAUACCGCAUACGUCCUGAGGGAGAAAGUGGGGGAUCUUCGGACCUCACGCUAUCAGAUGAGCCCAGGUCGGAUUAGCUAGUUGGUGGGGUAAAGGCCUACCAAGGCGACGAUCCGUAACUGGUCUGAGAGGAUGAUCAGUCACACUGGAACUGAGACACGGUCCAGACUCCUACGGGAGGCAGCAGUGGGGAAUAUUGGACAAUGGGCGAAAGCCUGAUCCAGCCAUGCCGCGUGUGUGAAGAAGGUCUUCGGAUUGUAAAGCACUUUAAGUUGGGAGGAAGGGCAGUAAGUUAAUACCUUGCUGUUUUGACGUUACCAACAGAAUAAGCACCGGCUAACUUCGUG